CCUACGGGUGGCAGCAGUGGGGAAUAUUGCACAAUGGGGGAAACCCUGAUGCAGCGACGCCGCGUGAGUGAAGAAGUAUUUCGGUAUGUAAAGCUCUAUCAGCAGGGAAGAAAAAAGACGGUACCUGACUAAGAAGCCCCGGCUAACUCCGUGCCAGCAGCCGCGGUAAUACGUAGGGGGCAAGCGUUAUCCGGAUUUACUGGGUGUAAAGGGAGCGUAGACGGCGCGGCAAGUCUGAAGUGAAAGGCAGGGGCUUAACCCCUGAACUGCUUUGGAAACAGCCAUGCUGGAGUGCUGGAGAGGUAAGUGGAAUUCCUAGUGUAGCGGUGAAAUGCGUAGAUAUUAGGAGGAACACCAGUGGCGAAGGCGGCUUACUGGACAGUAACUGACGUUGAGGCUCGAAAGCGUGGGGAGCAAACAGGAUUAGAUACCCUGGUAGUC
rnacentral:rRNA from 1 species